CGUAUUUGAAUUUGAGAUGAAACACGGAUCAUGUCACUCCAUCUUCUAGUUCAAAACCCUAACUCACCACCCCUCUCUCUCUCUCAAACCCAAGUAAAAGUAUUCAACACAGAUACCCUUUUGAAAGAAACCAAGAUUGGGCCAAAGGGUUCAAGGUAAUGGAAGAUCGAGGUGACGCGGGGAGACCUAGAUCUGAUUCCAAGUUGGCUGGUGAGAAGCGAACAGGUGGUGAAUUGAGAGAGAAAUCAGAAGUUGCUCGAAAAAAGAUGAAUAUGCGUGAUCUUGAAUCUCUGCUGGGGUCUGAAGCUGCUUUCCACUGAUGUUUCUGCAAACAAAAACACAUAUCCAGCUCUUGUGAUCUUGCUCAA